GUGAAGAAAAUCUGACUGUAAUAUCUGUCGCCCCAUUGAUUUUCAGGAUUGAUUUAGCUAAUCUGACCAGCUAGGUAGAUGUACCCUUCCUCAAAAAGGACCACCUUUUCCUGCAGAGGAGGACCACCUUUUCCAACACUUUUCUUUCUGCAAGGGUUAACAAGUAACUAUGCUCCCCUGCUAGAACCUCCAAACAAGUUCUCAAGGUUCAUUUAUAGGAGAGCAUAAGGUAGUCGAGUUUCCAAGACUCCUCUAGGUAGAUACAAACAAGGUGAUGAAUGUAGCACUCUGACUUUCUUA
rnacentral:snRNA from 1 species